rnacentral:rRNA from 1 species
UACGGAAGGCAGCAGUGGGGAAUAUUGCACAAUGGGCGCAAGCCUGAUGCAGCCAUGCCGCGUGUAUGAAAAAGGCCUUCGGGUUGUAAAGUACUUUCAGUCGUGAGGAAGGUGUUAAGGUUAAUAACCUUAGCAAUUGACGUUAGCGACAGAAGAAGCACCGGCUAACUCCGUGCCAGCAGCCGCGGUAAUACGGAGGGUGCGAGCGUUAAUCGGAAUUACUGGGCGUAAAGGGCACGCAGGCGGUUAAUUAAGUUGGAUGUGAAUCCCCGGGCUUAACCUGGGAAUGGCAUUCAAGACUGGUUAGCUAGAGUCUUGUAGAGGGGGUAGAAUUCCAUGUGUAGCGGUGAAAUGCGUAGAGAUGUGGAGGAAUACCGGUGGCGAAGGCGGCCCCUGGACAAAGACUGACGCUCAUGUGCGAAAGCGUGGGGAGCGAAACAGGGAUUAGAUACC